CCUACGGGAGGCAGCAGUAAGGAAUAUUGGUCAAUGGACGAAAGUCUGAACCAGCCAUGCCGCGUGAAGGAUUAAGGCCCUCUGGGUUGUAAACUUCUUUUAUCUGGGACGAAAAAAGGGUAUUCUUACUCACUUGACGGUACCAGAGGAAUAAGCACCGGCUAACUCCGUGCCAGCAGCCGCGGUAAUACGGAGGGUGCAAGCGUUAUCCGGAUUUACUGGGUUUAAAGGGUGCGUAGGUGGGCUUGUAAGUCAGUGGUGAAAUCUCCGGGCUUAACCCGGAAACUGCCAUUGAUACUAUAGGUCUUGAAUUAUCUGGAGGUAAGCGGAAUAUGUCAUGUAGCGGUGAAAUGCUUAGAUAUGACAUAGAACACCAAUUGCGAAGGCAGCUUACUACGGAUAUAUUGACACUGAGGCACGAAAGCGUGGGGAUCAAACAGGAUUAGAUACCCUGGUAGUCCACGCCCUAAACGAUGGAUACUCGACAUCAGCGAUACACUGUUGGUGUCUGAGCGAAAGCAUUAAGUAUCCACCUGGAAGUACGAUCGCAGAUUGAAACUCAAAUGAAUUGACGGCUGAGAGAGCGAGACGACGACGAGGGAGGAGG
rnacentral:rRNA from 1 species